GUCUCCAGCCUCGGCCACGGCAAGCCGCGGGCCUUUCCGCCAGAGAGCAUGCGCCGGGCUGGCCCCGGUCGCGACGUCAGACCCGGAGGAGGGCCCACGGGGUAGGGGAGGAGGGGCGGGGCGGGCCGGAAGAGCGGGGCGCGAGCCGGAAGUCGCCGUCCAGGCCCGCCCCAGCCCGGGCCCCUGGCCGCCUGUUGGGUGGGCGGUUCUAAGUGGUUCGCCCGCCGCCGUCCGUCCCGGCGAGGGUGAUGCCGACAGCCCCGCCCUGGCCCCUGCAGCGCCAGCCUUCUGUGACGCCGACAGCAGCGGUCCAGGCUGUGGUUGGGCCUGUGGCCUCAGAGCACUUAAAUCAACAACAUCUUUUGGUUGUGUCUACCUUCAAGAGAGACUCCAUUUUACAAGCGGCUGUGGAUCCGUUUUGAGGGAGAGGGACGACUGGAGCCCAUGGAACACUUGUAAACCACACUAUCUGUGUGGUCCCACCCAGGCCACAGACUGAUGAAGUCAACGGCUCUUUUGAAUUAACAUAGAAGGUCGUGUGGUGCCACCUGUCAGUGAUGACUGGUCAACUCAUUUCAUCCAUCAAAUGCCAGUCCAUCAGACACAGGAUCUUAGUGCAGCCCCGGCUGCCCUGACACUCAUUAUGUAGACCAAGCUGUAUUCAAGUUUAUGUGAGUCCUUCUGCCUCGGUCUUCCGAGUGCUGGGAUUACAUCUAUCUGCUUUCAAACACUUAGAAGAAGGAGAUAAACCUUUCAUUGUAUGAAGGGUCUGAGGGAAGGGUGCAGUGGAUAAGGCCCUUGCCGCACAAGCAUGAGGGCUGGAGUUUGGAUCCCCAGAAUCCAUGCAAAAAGCUAGGUGAGAUCCCAGCACACAGGAGGUGGAGAGAAGCUGGCCAAAAUGGUGAUUCAGUGAGAGACGUGAAGACAUCAAUCUGAAGCAACUACAUGUAUGUGCAAACAUGUAUACUUGUACAUGUGUAUCCUCACAUAUAGGAACACACACACACACACACACACACACACACACACACACACACAAAUGCAAGAUGGCAGGAGAGACAUUUUCUGUCACCUUGUAUUUGACACAAGGCCAUUGCUGAAAAUAGUAAUUGAAAGUUGACACGUGCUCCAUAAAAGGAAUCUGGAGGAAGCAGUGUGGAGGAUUCAUUCCUCCUGGAAUGUGGCUGUGUGCGAUUCCAUUGAAGGCCUGCAAUUCAGUUAGAACAAAAUCAUUUUCCCUCCUAUUUCAUCCUUCUGGAGAACAGAAGACGAAAGCUGAGGAGAGAUGGACCAGAGAGAAAGGUUGCUGUGGAACAGUUGGCUUACCUGCCCAGAGAGCAAGGAGGUUUGCUUCUAGUAUUCCAUGAUACAGUUUAGGAAAAGUUAAAGCCUUUCGAAGUACCAGCAUUACCCAAAAUGCAACACUCUGGGGGGAGGGGGAAGCUAGAGCUGGCUGAAGGCGGCAGAGAGAGAGUCAAAGCAGAGCCUUGAGAAGCCUUUGGUUCAUAAUUACUUUGUAAAGAUGUAUUUACACUUAAUGAAUUUAUUUAUGUGUCUGGCUGUCUUUGCCUGUAAGUGGACCAUGUGCAUUCCUGGUGCCCCCAGAGGCCUGGAACAGACAUAACUUACGGUUGUACACUCCCAUGUGGGUUCUGGGAACUGAACCUGGACUCUGCAAGAGCGGCAAGUACCCUCAGCCACUGUGACACUUCUCCAGCUUCCCAGAACUUCUUAUGUACAUCAAGGCAAGGACUGAAACCCGAGUGUUCCUACGGUCCGGGAGGCACAGGUGGGACAAGCCCUCUUCCCCAUUUGCAACCUGCCAGGUACUUUUGGAAGCUGAAGAGGAGACCAAUGACAAAGACUAUCAGGGUCAGCCUGGGCUAAGGCAAAGCAAAGACCCCCAAGACCCCCAGCUUUUCAAAAAGGAACUUCCCACAAUGUCACCUCCAGGGUGCUACCAAGUACACAGGGGACAUCUCUAAUAUCACUAGGCCCAAUCGUCCCCCUUAGUCACAUCAUCUGAGACAUGUAACCCCUUUCAUAUCUAACAGCUCUUAUCGUUGAAGAAAAGGAGAAGAGCCUUAGAGGGAAUUCAAACUGUGAUUUGAUUGUGUUCAUGUCUAGAAGAGGGUGUUUAAAUGAAAGAAAUUAACAUUUUUUAAAGACAGGGCCUUGUUAUACAGUCUAGACUGGCCUAGAAUAUAUGAUCUUCUUGCUUCAGUCUCCUGAGGGCUGGGUUUACACGUGUGUGCUACCAUACCUGGCACUGAUUGACUCCUAACUGGGGGGUUUAUUCUUCUCUUAGCCCAUUCCAUCUCACUACCUCCAAAGGUGGGAAUGGGAGGUUGCAUGGGAAUUUGUAUAUUUAUAGAAAUACAUGUUGUUACUGUUUUAGUUGGGGUUAUCAUUACUGUAAUAAAACACCAUGGCCAAAGCAACUUGGGAAGGAAAGGGUUUAUUUGGCUCACACUUUCACAACACUCUUGAUCUCUGAAGGAAGGACAUGAACUCAAACAAGCCAGGAAGCCGGAGGUAGGAACUGACGCAGAGGCCAUGGAGGAGCACUGCUUACUGGCUCGCUCCUCAUGGCUUGCCUAGCCUGCUUUCUUAUAGAUCACCAGCCCAGGGGUACUGCCCACAACAGGCUGGGCCUUCUCCCAUCGAUCACUAAUCAAGAAAAUUCCCUACAGGCCUGCCUAUAGCAGGAUCUUACCAAAACAUUUUCUCAACUAAAGAUCCCCCCUCUCAGAUGACUCUAGCUUGUGUCAAGUUAACAUAAAACUGGCCAGCAUAGUUACCAUGCCUUUGGUGUACCUAGUGGGCCAUAAAAUCUCAUCACAAGUGUUUUUAUGUCUACAUCCCAUGACAAUGCCUGUGUGGGAAGAGAAGGAGGCUGAAAACACAGUGCUUGAAUGGGCAGAAGGAGGUAGGGUGGAGAGAACUGAGGACCUGCUGGGGCAGGCACCUCACUCAGAGCCUUGUUUUGGAAGGACCAGUGGAGUUAGGAGGCAUCUCAGAAAGUCUCUUGCUCUGUGAUGUGCCAGGAGACACCUUCCUGAUCUCCUCACGAGCCGUCUGUCAGGGAAUACAUUCCUCUUCCCCUGACAGUGUGCUGGAGCUGGCUUCAAGUGGUCACACUAGUCACACUCUGGUCACCCAGGCUAAAGCUUCACGGACCCUCAUUAUGAUGAAGUCUGUUUUGAGUCUAGUUUCUUGUAUUGAAACUUGUGUCAUCCCUUCCUGUAGGUCCCACUGGAGAACAGUUUGUCCCCGACUGCUGAACAGCUAUUGCAAAUUGAAAUUUACUCUGAAUCACCCUCUAGUUUGUUUUUUUGUUUUUUUCUGGAUGGGACGACACCAGUUUCUUUUGUCUUUUCUUAUAAGUAGGCAGGCCUCCUGAACAUUUUUUUUUUUUUUUGAGCUGAGGGUUGAACCCAGGGUCUUGAGCUUGCUAGGCAAGCGCUCUAUCACUGAGCUAAAUCCCCAACCCCCUCCUGAACAUUUUAAUCAUCUUUCGCUUCCCUGGGAUUUGCCACCUAAGUCUUCAGUUCCUUAGCAACCACCACAAGCAGUGGCUGGUGUAAGCAUCCAUAAGGUAUGCUCUAUCUUAUGAUGUUUCUUCGGAUAAUUUACUUCACUAAAUAGGAAGCCAACCUUCAGUUACCUCCUGUUAUUUGUCUUCAGGUUUAGGUCUCACCACCUUUUGCAAUGCAUUGACAUCAGUGUUCCAUGGCUGUUUAAACUCCAGGGUUUCCAGCUCUGCAGAUUCAAUCAGCUGUGGUUUGGGUUCUGUGUAGUUAUGACCCGCUAUGGAUAUGCCUGCACUAAACAUGUGUGGACACUUCUUCAUCAUCAUUCUCUAAAGAAUACAGUAUAACGGAUGACUUACAUUGCUUUGGGUCUUAGAAGGAACCUGAGGAUGAUUUAAAGUAGGCAGGAGGAGGUGUGCAGAUUCUGUUCAAACAUUACAGCAUUUUAUGUCCAGAACUUGAGAAUCUGUGGCCUCUGGGCUCCACAGGGUUCCUGGAACCAAUCUCCCGUGGUUAUGCUGGGAUGGCUGUGCUUAGAAGUUUGGUUUAUUAAAAUGUUUAGUGUGUGUAUUUACUUAAAAUGAGAGAACUUUGAGUCUAUCAUAAAUGUCUAUUUUGGUUGAUUUCUUGCCUAAUGAGGCAUAAUAUAAAAAAAUGCUGAACAUUCCAUUCAACCAUGUGGGACAAACUAGGAAUCUGAAGGAUUGAAUUUCAGAGCUAGGCGGUGAGAAAAUGUCAUAUAAUUAUGAAAAAUAGGAAAUGGUAAGUUUAUAAUUUUCUGGGAAUUUUUUUUCUGUGUAGAAGAGAUGGAGAGACCAUUCCAGAAUUUCUAACAUAUAUUGCCUUUUGCCUUAAGUUCUAUAGAUUAUUCACAGGUUUGGAAAUAGUGCUUUUUGAAAUCUACUUGAUUCUAUUUUUUUUUUUUUGAGACAAUGUGUCACAUCGUAGUCAAGCAGACCUGGAACUUACUAUGUAACCAGGCUGGCCUGGACUGGACAAAAUUCCUGCUUCAGCCUCCUGAGUGAUGGAUGAUGCAUGCUAAACCUGGCUUGGAAGUGGUGUCUCUUUCUCUUAUUCUCUUUACUCUCUUUCUCUCAAAAUUGUUUUAGCGUGUGUGUGUGUGUGUGUGUGUGUGUGUGUGUGUGUGUGUGUGUGUGUGUACAUGCACAUGAGUGCAUGCAUGUCACAGCAUAUGUGUGGAAAUCAAAGCAUAACUUUUGAGAGUUGGUUCUCUUCUUCCACCAUGUAGACUCCAGGGAUUGAAGCUGGGUCAUCAGGCUUAGCUACAAGUGCCUUUACCCACUGAUAUAUCUUUCUAGCCCCCAGUCCCAUUCCAAAGUGCCUUUGAAGGGUUUGUUUUCAUUUUAUAUGUAUGAGUGUUUUGCCUGCAUGUAUGUAUAUUCACCAUGUGCAUGCCUGUUGCCUAAAAAUGCCAGAAGAGGGGUCAGAUCCCCUGGAAGUAGAGUUACAGAUAGUCGUAAGUGAUCAUGUGGGUGCUGGGAAUAGAACCCAGGUCCUCUGGAAGAGCAGCCAGCUGAUAACUGCAGUCAUCUUCCUAUCCCCUGAGUGAAUUAUCUUGAGGGCAUUUUUCAUUUCUCCCUUCCCCCAGAUUCAUUUUUUAUUUAUGUGCAUGUCAGUGUGUGUAUGUGUACAUGCAAGUGCCUGUAAAGGCCAGAAGAGGGCAUUGGGUCCCCUGGAGCUAGAGUUACAAGUAGUUGCAAGCCUCUGGGUGUGGGCGCUAGGCACAAAACUCUGGUCCUUUGCAAGAGCAGUGAGUGAUCUUAACUGUUAAGCUAUCUCUUUAGCCCUAUUUAUUUAAAAGGACAUCUUUCUUAGUCAAAGUUCCCAGAGAUAGGUCCUAUGAAAAUUUUAUUAAAUACUUCAGUAUUCAUGACCUUAGUCACAGAAUAAUAAAUAUAGUUUUAGAGGCCAUGUUUAAUUUUUUUUGAACGAGGGCAAGGGAAUUUUGAAAUGUCAAAAUACAUUGUUAUUAUUGUUGUUGUAUUUGUGGUAAUGGGAAUUUUCCAGGGUCUGUUGUUUAAGUACUCUAUUCCCAAGCUGUAUACCUGGCUCUGCUUUUGCAUUUGUUUUCUUCUUAAGUUGAUUAGGCUGGCCUUGAGUUUCCUCGCCAGCCAAAGCAGGCUUUGCACUUGAAAUCCUCCUGCCCUUUCUCCCAAGUACCUGCUGCAGUGGGUAGCUGUUGUUCCAGCUUUGAUCUGGAAGUACUACCCCUAGUGAGGCUUCUGGUAACUGCUGUGCCUACCUAUGAUGCGCCCCUGGGGCAGGGCCAAGACUGGAGCCCUUGCCUGGUCUCUUGGUUUCUGGUGAUCCUAGAUGCUGAAUGGUAAACCGAGCGGAGUUCUUCAGAGACCCCUGCUGGACUGCACCUCACCUCUCCCGGGUCCUGUAACCAACAACUUACUGGCUGUAAGUUACCCCAAAAUAAACCUCCUUUUUAACUAUGUGGAGUUGCCUUAAUAAUUUUCCCCAAUAACCUCCCCUCAUCACCAGAUCUGGCUCUUCAACUAUGUUAGUUUGAUCUUGACUCGAUGAACAGAAAAGCAAACCUAUGCUUAAGAAUAUAUUUUAUGGGGGUUGGGGAUUUAGCUCAGUGGUAGGCAAGCACAAGGCCCUGGGUUUGGUCUUCAGCUCAAAAAAAAAAAAAAAAAAAAAAAAAAGACGACUUCCCUUCUGGACCAGAGAGUUGGACAAGAGAACUCCCUUUUGGACAAGAGAGAGAGUCUUCCUGAGUCUGUCAGCUCUUUGUGAAACAAGUCCACUGAUAAGACCAAGAAGGAACCACAAGGAGAUGGGCAGACGUCAAAGCAGAAGUACAUACAGCAAAAUGAAGAGC